rnacentral:rRNA from 1 species
GACGAACGCUGGCGGCGUGCUUAACACAUGCAAGUCGAACGGACAGGCCCUGCUUUUGUGGGGUUCUCGAGUGGCGAACGGGUGAGUAGCACGCGAGUAACCUGCCCUUGUCUUUGUGAUAACUUCACGAAACUCGGGCUAAUACCGGAUAGGAUCUCCUGCUGCAUGUUGGGGGUUGGAAAGUUUCGGCGGUUGGGGAUGGACUCGCGGCUUCUCAGCUUGUUGGUCGGGUAGUUGCUUACCAAGGCUUUGACGGGUAGCCGGCCUGAGAGGGGGACCGGGCACAUUGGGACUGAGAGACGGCCCAGACGCCUACGGGAGGCAGCAGGGGAGAAUAUUGCAGAAUGGGCGGAAGCCUGAGGCAGCAACGCCGCGUGCGGGAUGACGGCCUUCGGGUUGUAAACCGCUUUCGCCUGAGACGAAGCGUGAGUGACGGUAAUGGGUAAGGAAGCACCGGCUAACUACGUG